UACGGGGGGGGCAAGCGUUGUUCGGAAUUACUGGGCGUAAAGGGUUUGUAGGUGGCCAACUAAGUCAGACGUGAAAUCCCUCAGCUUAACUGGGGAACUGCGUCUGAUACUGGUUGGCUUGAGUGCAGGAGAGGAACGCGGAAUUCCAGGUGUAGCGGUGAAAUGCGUAGAUAUCUGGAGGAACACCAAUGGCGAAGGCAGCUCGCUGGGACGUGACUGACGCUGAGACGCGAAAGCGUGGGGAGCAAACAGG
rnacentral:rRNA from 1 species